GGGAGCUACCAUUUGAUUUUUAUGGGGGGGGGGGCUAGGAUGAAAUUUGAAAAAAAUAGGCAGGACAGGAGUCUUGAGCAAAAAAAAAAGGCAGGAUGAGAUACUUUGCAAAAAAAAAAGGCAGGAUGACAAUUUUGGUAAAAAAAGUCAGGAUAAACUAAUAAAAAAAAAGGCAGGACCAAAUAGAGUGAAAAAUAAAAAGGCAGGACAGAGAUUACGACUAUAAAUAAAU
rnacentral:lncRNA from 1 species